AACCCCCUUUUUUUAGAGUUUGAAUCUGGCUCAGAUUGAACGCUAGCGGGAUGCUUUACACAUGCAAGUCGAACGGCAGCACGAGAGAGCUUGCUCUCUUGGUGGCGAGUGGCGGACGGGUGAGUAAUAUAUCGGAACGUGCCCAGUAGCGGGGGAUAACUACUCGAAAGAGUGGCUAAUACCGCAUACGCCCUACGGGGGAAAGGGGGGGAUUCUUCGGAACCUCUCACUAUUGGAGCGGCCGAUAUCGGAUUAGCUAGUUGGUGGGGUAAAGGCUCACCAAGGCAACGAUCCGUAGCUGGUUUGAGAGGACGACCAGCCACACUGGGACUGAGACACGGCCCAGACUCCUACGGGAGGCAGCAGUGGGGAAUUUUGGACAAUGGGGGAAACCCUGAUCCAGCCAUCCCGCGUGUAUGAUGAAGGCCUUCGGGUUGUAAAGUACUUUUGGCAGAGAAGAAAAGGUAUCUCCUAAUACGAGAUACUGCUGACGGUAUCUGCAGAAUAAGCACCGGCUAACUACGUGCCAGCAGCCGCGGUAAUACGUAGGGUGCAAGCGUUAAUCGGAAUUACUGGGCGUAAAGCGUGUGUAGGCGGUUCGGAAAGAAAGAUGUGAAAUCCCAGGGCUCAACCUUGGAACUGCAUUUUUAACUGCCGAGCUAGAGUAUGUCAGAGGGGGGUAGAAUUCCACGUGUAGCAGUGAAAUGCGUAGAUAUGUGGAGGAAUACCGAUGGCGAAGGCAGCCCCCUGGGAUAAUACUGACGCUCAGACACGAAAGCGUGGGGAGCAAACAGGAUUAGAUACCCCGGUAGUCCACGCCCUAAACGAUGUCAACUAGCUGUUGGGGCCGUUAGGCCUUAGUAGCGCAGCUAACGCGUGAAGUUGACCGCCUGGGGAGUACGUCGCAAGAUAAAAGG
rnacentral:rRNA from 2 species